GCGGCAUCCGAGCUCAUUUCCAGGGAUAAAGGAGCCAAACGAGUCCGGAGGGAUCCCUCGCUCCGAGGCAAAGGCGUUUGGUCGAGUGUCGCCGCCUGGUCCCGCCUGCGGGGGAGCGUCUCCUCCAGACCUGGAACCGUGGCUGCUUCCUGGCAAACCUGGCGUUAAAGUGGCAGCUCUGCGGGGGAAGAUCCGGGCUCCAGGAGGCACUGGGAGGCUGUUGCAGCAGGAAUUCGGCAUGGAAUUGCGGGCUGUAGGUAGAAUUCAUCCAAACCUGCAAAGCUGAGACCGGCACCCAAACCUGGGCCCCCCGCAGAGAACAAUCUUUUUGCUGCCCUGUCGGCCAAAGCCGCUGCGCUGAGAGAUCUUGGCAGCCUGAGGGAGGGCAUUCUCUGCAUCCCAGCAACCUCCAUCUCCCUAGGGGACAAUCAAAGUCCCAACCAAUUCCUUUUGCCUUUCCACAGGGACACUGACCCUUAUUUGGUCCUGCUCUUCCACGGUCCAUUUUGGGGGAUGAGUUUGUGCUGGUUUACGUUCCACGACUCCACCCACAGCUGGAGGUUUGGGGUUGUGCUUCUCUACUCCCAGCAGGUUCCCUAAGGAGCCAGAUACUCCAACAAUCCCCUCGUUUGACUUUCUAGGUGAAUUGUGCACAAGCCAGUCCCCCAUUCCCUAUCCAGGCUGGGAGUGCUCGUGCCCUUGGUACAGUUGGCUCUGGCUGGGCAGGAACUGAGAGCAGGACACGGGGCAGAGUGGAUCAGCUGCCCAGGGAACGUCCAGGAGAUGAAGCUACGGGAUCCUCAUUCCAAUCAAGGGAACACAUUCUGUCACUGGCAGAAGCCGGGAGCCAAAGCAGAUCCCGCCUGGCCAGGGUGGGGGGCAGCAGUUGGAUCCACUCUGGGGGAAAGCCCCUGUGCCUGCCAGGAGCUCUGACUCUGUUUGUCCUGCCAGCUCCUGACCAGUGUCAGGGCUCCUGGGAGGGAUUCAGAAUCCAAAGAAACCCCAAAUCCUACCGCAGGAUUCAAUCAAAGGAAGAAAGCCAUUAUUGUCAUAAAAAGCUUAAAAAGCUGUUAAAAAUUCUAGGACAGCAAUACUGGGAUUCCCAGGAAACUUA